GCCCCUCGCAGCUGUGCCUGACGAUUGGAGCAGCGUACUGCGCGGAAUGAUGGGAGUUGUAGUUCGUUCGCCUCUGGCGAACAACCGACUGUCUGACUCGCAGUCCCAAUCGCGUGUCGUGUGGGACCCUUUUCACUCGGUUGGAGGAAACUUGUAACAUAACUCUUAAGGAACUACCCUGGUGGUGCAGUGGUUAGGAAUCUGCCUGCCAGUGCGGGGAACAGGGAUUCCAUCCCUGGUCCACGAGGACCCCCCCAUGAUGCUGAACAGCUCGGCCUGUGGGCCACAACUACAGAGCCUGCGCUCUGAAACCUGCGUGAGCCGCACUGUGGAACCCGUGUGCUGCAGCUACUGAAGCCUGAGCUGGAACCUGUGCUCUGCAACAAGAGAAGCCACCGCAACGAGAAACCUAUAAGUAAAUAAAUGGCUCUUAAAACUCAA